UGGGGAAUAUUGCACAAUGGGCGCAAGCCUGAUGCAGCCAUGCCGCGUGUAUGAAGAAGGCCUUCGGGUUGUAAAGUACUUUCAGCGGGGAGGAAGGUGUUGUGGUUAAUAACCACAGCAAUUGACGUUACCCGCAGAAGAAGCACCGGCUAACUCCGUGCCAGCAGCCGCGGUAAUACGGAGGGUGCAAGCGUUAAUCGGAAUUACUGGGCGUAAAGCGCACGCAGGCGGUCUGUCAAGUCGGAUGUGAAAUCCCCGGGCUCAACCUGGGAACUGCAUCCGAAACUGGCAGGCUUGAGUCUUGUAGAGGGGGGUAGAAUUCCAGGUGUAGCGGUGAAAUGCGUAGAGAUCUGGAGGAAUACCGGUGGCGAAGGCGGCCCCCUGGACAAAGAUUGACGCUCAGGUGCGAAAGCGUGGGGAGCAAACA
rnacentral:rRNA from 1 species